GUUGUUUUUGACGUAGGACUAUUAAAUAUUCUCAUUUUGAAACUUCCUAAAGGUUUAUUGGUUUGUCAUGUCUGCACCGAUCCAGUUUCGCAUAACUCUUAAAAUUUAAAGCUUUAAAGUACGGUUCGCAAUUGUAUUGUCAAGACAUGGCCCUAGAGCUUGUUCUUCAAGUUUUGGCUGUACAGUUGUCAUUGUUUCAGUCAAGUGCAAAAGAGGUUAUUCCUGUUUAUUUAGUGUUAAUAGCUAUUUACAGUUAAAACUUUAAAGACUCAUAGAAGUAGGUCUGCUGUAUUUUAAAGAUCUCAUCAUUCUUGUGGGAGAGACACAACACCAACACCAGGAAAGGCAACAGAUUGCUUCUGUCAUAUCGCUUUGCUGUUUUGGAGUGUACUUAAAGGAUUAUGAUUGAUAAGGCUGUCUUGCCAGAGAAUGUUGACACAGGUGUGCAUCGUUAUCUUAAUUAAGAUCCUGAGAAAAUGUUGUCUAUAAAUGGUGACAUAAGAAGGGCGGCAUAUUUUUGUACAGUUUUGCUUUUGGAGAAUUUAAUUGCACUUGAAACCUGUCUUUGAGCUUCCAGAUUUUGUGAGCACUUUAGCAACAGAAGUUUUAGAGAGAAAUGAUAGUUUAAUGUUAAGUGUUCUGGCAUGUACUAAUACUACUUGUGGCUUUUUGGCAAUGCCUGUGUCGGCUUUCUUUGUGCUCUACCUUUGUGGAAUAAUGGUUUCUAAUUUUGAAAGAAAAGCAUAAAAUAGAGCAGUAUUUUAUUAAGCAAACACUUGUUAGUGUUCAGAAUAAGUCUGUAGAGGAGGGCAUGCUUAAUGUGCAGAAACAGGAAUAUAAUAAGAGGUGUUAAGUGUGAUGCUUCCAUAAUACAUUUGGAUGCUGUCAGCUAAGUUCACUUCUGAACUAAGGGGUUCCUCCAAAUGUUGGCUGAAAUUCAUCCCAAGGCUGGUCUGCAAAGUCUGCAAUUCAUAAUGGAGCUACUGUACUGGCUAUUGGAAGGAGGAGAUUCUGAAGAUAAGGAGGAUGCCACUGGAAAUGUUGAAAUGAAAAAUAUUCAGCCGUUGGUCUUUGAAAUUUCCUGUGAUGUGUUUCAAUCUAGAUGCAAAGAACAUGGAAAAAUCAAAGUGCUCGAGUGGUUUAAAUAUGUUUUGGGUAUUCCUGUUUAUAGACUAUAAUACUUUUCCAAUUAAAAUCCUCAGUUGUCACGCAGAAGAAGGUUAAGCUGUAUUUGAUUGCCAGUUUUACUGAAAAUGCUUAGUAUUUUACAGUAUCACCAAAUAUAUUUUGUUUAGCCAAGGUAUAGGAAAAAUAAAAUAAAUUGUAUAGGUUGACUUUUUUCUAAAAU
rnacentral:lncRNA from 1 species